GUCAUCUUGUGGGUUGGAGGGAUGGUCUUUAACACGGAGGUGUGAGCUGCUCCUGCAGGCCCAGAGACUUGCAGAUCAGCCAGAAGGGGUUGACAUACGUAGAGCUCCGCACCCCAUCUCACUGUUCUCUGCUUGCUCGGUAGAGUCUGAUUUUCGUAACAGUGCUGCCCUAGUUGGGGAUUUAACCUUCCUGGGAGCUGGGCUGCUCUCAGGGUUAAGCUCUGGGCCUUAUGCUUAGCUCUGUAUCCUCUCCUGGCUGCAUGAGUUUUGUUCUAUUUUUACAUUUUAUUGACACAUUUACUCCUACAUAUUUAUGAUUCAAGAAGUGUCUUACAUGCUAGCCAGAGGUCCCCUAGCUUUUAUAUGGAGGCUUUAAUUGCUGAUGAAACACCUGGAGCCUUUUAGCAUUGUUUUCUUUUCCAAAGUGAGUAUUUUCUUCUACAGUCACCGUCCUGUUCUGUUGUGUUGACACCACUUUGUCCACGUACUUUUCAACACCAUCCAUUUCCUCUACUUAGUGUACCAUCCCAACUCACCCCUGGGAACAGCCUUUGACAACUGCCUUGGUGCUGCUGUGCGAGGGGCUGUGUUGUCCCAGCUGCCACCAGUCUUGGGGUUCUCAGAGAGUCCGUUUCCUGAGACCAUUUUUCAGAUUCUUCCUGGCACCAUUUGUCACAGGCUGGGUUGCUGGGACUCUGAGAUGGGAACUUGUUGAGGGAAGGCUCUCAGGAUUAACAACUUCAGAAACAAAGAGAAGGAAGCAGGACUGGACGGAAGUUGGCCCUAGAUGAUCCCAUGGGGACCUCUGGGGCUGGGAUCGCUGUACCUUGGGGAGAGGGAGAGCAAGCAUGUGUACCCCAGCAUUGAUUAGAAUCACCAGUCACCAAAUGCAAAGUGCCCCUAGGAAGAGGACUUUGGGAGUAGGAUGCUCAACACUCCCAGCAUCUCUGAGCAUGAGGGCCUUGGUCCCAGAGGGAAAAUCUGGAUAGUCCUAUAUAUAGCAUCAUAUUUACCACAUGCACUAAAGAUGAGGGAAGGCAAUACUGAGAAAUAUGACAUAACUGGAAGAGGCCUUUCCUUUCAUUUGCUUGAACCAAUGCCUAUUUGGCUACUGCAGACUUCAAAGUGAAAAAGCCACACUCAGCUCUGGUCUGGUGGGAAAGACUAGCCACAGAAUGGUUACUGGGGUGUGGGUGUGCCGACUCUCCCCUCGCAUUCUAUGCAGAAGGAAGUUGAGUCUCAGGGAUGCAGUGUGACCCGACACAGUGUGCAAAAUGAGUUCGUGGCCGGUGUGAACUGUGACCCUAGCCUCCCAAUUCUCAGCCUAGGACCUUCCCUCCUGCCCUGCAUUAUCUCUGCUAAUUGCUUGGAAAUUGUUCAAGGUCAAUCAUGUUUGUACAUGCAAGCAGAAGAAAAAACAUGUAAGGCCAGGAUGUAUAUAGAGGAUUGUAACUGAGGAAAACCCAAUUAAUGGCCUAGAUGUUCUGUCGGGGGCUCAUCAUUGAUUUGGUCUGGCUUCCCCAUCAGAGCUGUUUGAGAUUAUUUUCUAGCAUUUUACUCAAAGCUGAUUAACCCUACUGGACUGGUGGGUUAGAGGACUGACUUUGAAAACUUUUUGCAUUUUGAAUCAUUGAGGAGGGGGGAGUACGCGUGUUGGAAUCCACCUCUCAUGAGAAAAAUCGGUCAGAAGUGUGUCUGCCUCUCCCUUUGCUGGUUGCACCUUGACCGAAGGCAAGCGUUUUCCUGGUAACCUUGGCUGCUGUCUGGGACAGAUAUAUGAAAACUCCAGAAGAUGAAACCCAACUUCUUGCUCUUUCAUGACACUUGCAGAUGGUAUGGACACUCCACCCCAUGAGGUCGCAUAUUCUGCCACCCCCACUGCAUUGCCUCAUUAUAUGGUCCAAGACAGUCCACCCAUGUCCUCAUUCCUGCCAGUGGAAGAGACGGGAGUGGAAGGGAAGGGCUACACCCUUUCCCUGUCAGGGCUUGAGGUAAAAGGUUCUCAUGUCACGUGGCACUCAAGUCACUCUGGUCCAAAUGUGGUCAUAUGACCACACGCAGCCACAAGGUGGGAAAUGCCAUCUUUAUUUGGGCAUCUACUGACCCUGCUAAAAACCAGAGGUCCCAUUGCUAUAGCAGAAGGAAAACUGGAUGUUGAGGGACAAGGCAUGUGCCUCCACCUGCCACCCUCUUUGACUUUAAGAAAUAUGAGUACAGGGACCAAAUUUCUUUCUGUCAAGACCUUAUACUCAAGUCAGAGCUAGUGUUUGGGUUAGGUGAUGGAUUGUGGUGGCUUGGAUUAGAUGAUAGAGUGGAAAUUUGGAGAAAAUGGACAGGCUUGGGAUACAAGUGGGAAGUAGGAACUAUAGGGCUAAAUGAUACGUACAAGCAGAUGCACCUUUGAGGGGAGAGAGUAAAAGCAUUGCACCCAGACAAAUGGGGGCUUUCCUGUUGUAUUAUUAUUUACCUUUCCAAACAUCUAUUCUUUCACCAUCCAUCUAAACUGUGAGCUACUCAUGUUAGACAUCAAGUUAGUGUAUAAAUAGGUUUUAAAUCUUGUUUCUACCAUUCAACUAGCUGUCAGUAUUUAGGCUUCAGUUCUGUUACCUCUAAGUUGGGAAUUGAAAUACUACUACAUCAUGAGAUGGAAUGUGAGCCACAUAAAUGCUGAGUACAGUGCCUGACAUAAAUUGAGAACUCAAAUAAAUUGGGCUCCGUCUGCUCUCCCACCCCCACCCCACCUUCCGAACCUGCUGCAAGGAGUCUCAGCCACUAUGUGGUAGGGGAGAGGUAUGCGAAUUGGGUCCUCUGAGAAAAAACACGCAGCCUUUUCUAAGGAACAGAUGUCUGCGGGAUUUCUACCCGGCCUCAGGUUCACAGAGGCACUUCCUCCACAGGUUCCUCUUUCCCAGGAAGUAGCCUCCUCUUCCUGGACUGGAGACGCUGAGCUCUGUGCCGAUGAUCACAGCUCAUUUUUCAGAGGCCUGGCAACCACGCCCAGUUCAAAUGUCACCACUUUUCUGAAGCCUUCCCUGUCGCUCUUCCUCCCACUCACCCCUGCCCAGGAAGGCCUGGAACAAUGAGUUGCUUCCUCUGUCCUCUUGCUGCUCUCCGCCCUCAUUUCUGGUCGAGCUUGUUAUACUAGUGCUGAAGCACAAGCUGUGGGGCUUCCUGUCCCCCGCGUUCUCUGGGGACUUGGGCAAUGAAAAGAAGGUUGUCCACACAAGACUCAUCAGACUGUGCUUGAGCAGUCUUGCAGGCACACAUGGCCAUGCUUUCUGCUGAGAGUUGGAGGACAGCGUGCUGACUGCAAAUGAUGGGGUCAGAUGCCACAGAGAAGGACAUGCAGUGUGGCUCCCCAUCACGGACAAGAUGUCUUGCUCAGUGGUGCGGAAAUGGCACAGGCAGCAGAUACUAAUCCAGGGGCUGGGGACUGCCCUGCUUCUGACGUUGCACUUUUCUUGCCUGGGAUGGAAGCUAGCUGGGCGGUGAACACUCCACUUUCUCUACAUGCUCCCUUUAGGUUGGGACCUCUCAUCUUCAGUGCCACCGUUCCCACCAACCUCUCCCCCAAAGACUCGUUGCUAGUCUCAGAGGAGAGGAGCGAAGCUUUACCCUGUCCUGCCUCCUAAUGACUAAACUUCUCAUUUCCUCAAGGACGGGCUUUGGACAAGAUACUCAAAACCUUUCCCUCUAAUUCUUCUGCAUCAUGCCUUCAUUGAAGAAUUAUCUGAAUGGGAAGGGGUCAAAGUAAUAAGGAGACUGAGUAGCUGCUUGGGGGAGGAAUUGGUUAAAAUUGCAAAGAGCUCUCUCAACCCACUGUCGGUGAUUCUUCCUUUCCACCUCUCUCCCUCCUUGGGCAGAGAGCUCCUUGCAAGCACAAGCCACACAUCUUGGUUUUGACCUUCCAGGUCUCAUUAGUGCACAUUUUUGGAAAGUGUCCACUAAAUGGAUGGGCCACUCAUCACCCAUUCUACUGAUGGAAUAAUCUUUCUACUAUGCAAAUAUGAUUGUAUUUUGCCUAAUACCCUUAAAUCACCCUGUAUUGUUUUCCAGAUAGAAGGAAAAUUCUCUAACUUGGCACUGAUCUGGUCCCUACCCAUCUCUUAAUCCCAUUGCUUGUCUCUCCCUCACCAUUUCUUGUAAAAAUCUAGCAGUACGCUAGGCAGUUCAUCUCAGCCACACCCUCUGGUUUUGUACAUGAUGUCCCUUCUGUGUGGAUGCCCUUCUAUGCUGCCUGGCACCUAUAAGACUUUUUGGGUUCAUCCCAGCAUCACCUUGUGGGCAGCCCUGACUUGUCUCUUUAAUUCCACAAUAUUUUAUGCCAAGUCUAUCGGAGCACAGGGGUUAGCACACGGUAACAGUUACCAUAAGAAUAUAUGGAUUAGAUAUUGACAAGAAUGUUAAGCCUACAAAUCAUUAUACAAACUAUAAUGAGUUAAGGAAUGGAAUGUCUUUUCUUUUCCCUAGCACUCAUUUAGGAUAUUCGGUUAUAACCUUCUGAAGAAAAUAUGGCUUCCACCCUUCCCAGGGGCAAAGGAAUAGAUGAGAUGACCUUGAAAAUCACCCAUCUUCAAGGUUUUUUCAGCUCAAUGUAUGCUCUUGAUAAACAGAUCAAAUCUGAAUUCCGAGACAUGGUUUUUAUCCCAGCAGUGGCCUCUAGGAGCUGAGUGAUCUUGGGCCUUCAUCUCGGUGAGGAAGGUAGUGGGACCUCUGUAACGGACCAUCAUGAAAACUCAAUGAACUCAUGCAGGAAAAGCAGUGAGAUGAGUGCCUGGAACAUGG